rnacentral:rRNA from 1 species
GGGCACCACCGGCGGACGGCUCAGUAACACGUCGGUAACCUACCCUCGGGAGGGGGAUAACCCCGGGAAACUGGGGCUAAUUCCCCAUAGGCCUGAGGUACUGGAAGGUCCUCAGGCCGAAAGGGACUUAUGUCCGCCCGAGGAUGGGCCGGCGGCCGAUUAGGUAGUUGGUGGGGUAAUGGCCCACCAAGCCGAAGAUCGGUACGGGCUGUGAGAGCAGGAGCCCGGAGAUGGACACUGAGACACGGGUCCAGGCCCUACGGGGCGCAGCAGGCGCGAAACCUCCGCAAUGCGGGAAACCGCGACGGGGGGACCCCGAGUGCCGUGGCAACGCCACGGCUUUUCCGGAGUGUAAAAAGCUCCGGGAAUAAGGGCUGGGCAAGGCCGGUGGCAGCCGCCGCGGUAAUACCGGCGGCCCGAGUGGUGGCCGCUAUUAUUGGGCCUAAAGCGUCCGUAGCCGGGCCCGUAAGUCCCUGGCGAAAUCCCACGGCUCAACCGUGGGGCUUGCUGGGGAUACUGCGGGUCUUGGGACCGGGAGAGGCGGGGGGUACCCCUGGGGUAGGGGUGAAAUCCUAUAAUCCCAGGGGGACCGCCAGUGGC